CAUCAAAUGUGACUUCUUUAUUUCCAAUUGUAUAACCCUUCUUUCCUUCAGAGGAGUACCUUAUUGAAUAUCCUGCAGUGCUUUUAUCUCUAGGAUCUUGUAGAUAAGUUGCAAUUAAGUUAGAAACUUUGAUACAUGGACUUUGACUUCUUGGUGUAGCUUGAAAUUGUUUAGGAGUUUGCGGAGCUAGAAUUUGUAGAGUUCCUUGAAUAC
ensembl:ncRNA ZC53.10 ncRNA